UAGUGUUUGAUAAUGCUUUAUUCCUACUUUCUUAUAGUUUCUUGUGCCAUACCAACCCCUUAGCAAGUUAGGGGCUAUGGAGCAGCUAUGGAUGUCCAUCUCGUUACGUUUGUAGCUUGCCUCUUGCUUGUUGUGGGAGACGCAUUCAUUCACGGCUCCGUUGUUUACGCUCCGGAGCGGCUGUUAGCUUUGAGCCACACAUCGCUUCGCUACGCCGAGCGACCAGAGAUCCCCGCGGGGAUACGGAGGAGGAGAGGCUGCAUAGCGGGAGUGAACAGCGGUAUAGAUAGACGGUAUAAACCAUGUUUACCGUCUGUCAUCAUGGGGAACGUGUGGUGGAAGAGCUAACGGCGCUAACCCGGCUGCAGAGAGACUACCACAAAUAGAAAAGUCUACCAGGCAGCAGGUCCAGGUCCAACCUGACUAGGGUGCACGUACUGCAGCUCUGCUGGAUGUCAUCUGCCCGGUGCUGUGCUCUAUCCAGUCACAAUGGCGGUUGCAGGAUACCGAAAAUGCCUCCUUUCUUCCUUUCCCUCGUUCCCUCAAUCCUUCCUGUCUCCCACGAGCCAUCAAACUGAG